GACAGAGGUGCCGAGCGUUAGGCGGAAUCACUGGGCUUAAAGCGUGUGUAGGCGGAUGCCUAAGUACCUUGUGAAAUCCCACGGCUUAACCGUGGAACUGCUUGGUAUACUGGGUGUCUUGAGCCACUUAGGGCGACCGGAACGAAACGGUGGAGCGGUGAAAUGCGUAGAUAUCGUUUGGAACGCCAAUGGUGAAACAGGUCGCUGGGAGUGCGCUGACGCUGAGACACGA
rnacentral:rRNA from 1 species